GAGCCUCUGGCUCAAUGGUUAGAGCGCUGAACUUCUGAUCAACAGGUCGUGGGUUCGAGCCCCAGGUGGUUCA
rnacentral:tRNA from 1 species